CCCUAUGGGGUGCAGCAGGCGAGAAAACUUUGCAAUGUGCGAAAGCACGACAAGGUUAAUCCGAGUGGUUUCUGCUAAAGGAACCUUUUGUCAGUCCUAGAAACACUGAUGAAUAAGGGGUGGGCAAGUUCUGGUGUCAGCCGCCGCGGUAAAACCAGCACCUCAAGUGGUCAGGAUGAUUAUUGGGCCUAAAGCAUCCGUAGCCGGCUCUGUAAGUUUUCGGUUAAAUCUGUACGCUCAACGUACAGGCUGCCGGGAAUACUGCAAAGCUAGGGAGUGGGAGAGGUAGACGGUACUCGGUAGGAAGGGGUAAAAUCCUUUGAUCUAUUGAUGACCACCUGUGGCGAAGGCGGUCUACCAGAACACGUCCGACGGUGAGGGAUGAAAGCUGGGGGAGCAAACCGGAUUAGAUACCCGGGUAGUCCCAGCUGUAAACCAUGCAAACUCAGUGAUGCAUUGGCUUGUGGCCAAUGCAGUGCUGCAGGGAAGCCCUUAAGUUUGCCGCCUGGGAAGUACGUUCGCAAGUAUGAAACUUUAAGGAAUUGGCGGGGGAGCACCACCAAGGGUGAAGCUGCGGGUCAAUUGGGAGUUCACCGCCCGAAAUCUUUCCCCGGGAAACCAGCAGAUGAGGUCAGCUGAAGACUUUACCAGACAGCUGAGAGUGUGCAUGG
rnacentral:rRNA from 1 species